GGAAUGACUGUCUGACACGGAAUGCCAC
rnacentral:piRNA from 1 species